CCUACGGGAGGCAGCAGUGGGGAAUAUUGCACAAUGGGGGAAACCCUGAUGCAGCGACGCCGCGUGAGUGAAGAAGUAAUUCGUUAUGUAAAGCUCUAUCAGCAGGGAAGAAAAUGACGGUACCUGAGUAAGAAGCCCCGGCUAACUACGUGCCAGCAGCCGCGGUAAUACGUAGGGGGCAAGCGUUAUCCGGAUUUACUGGGUGUAAAGGGAGCGUAGACGGCAGUGCAAGUCUGGAGUGAAAGGCGGGGGCUCAACCCACGGACUGCUCUGGAAACUGUACGGCUGGAGUGCAGGAGAGGUAAGUGGAAUUCCUAGUGUAGCGGUGAAAUGCGUAGAUAUUAGGAGGAACACCAGUGGCGAAGGCGGCUUACUGGACUGUAACUGACGUUGAGGCUCGAAAGCGUGGGGAGCGAACAGGAUUAGAUACCCUAGUAGUC
rnacentral:rRNA from 1 species